rnacentral:rRNA from 1 species
AGACGUCUACAUUAGAUACCCGUGUAGUCCCAGCCGUAAACUAUGCGCGUUAGGUGUAUCGGUGACCACGAGUCACCGAGGUGCCGAAGGGAAACCGUGAAACGUGCCGCCUGGGAAGUACGGUCGCAAGGCUGAAACUUAAAGGAAUUGGCGGGGAGCACCACAACGGGUGGAGCCUGCGGUUUAAUUGGGCUCAACGCCGGGAAGCUCACCGGAUAAGACAGCGGAAUGAUUGCCGGGCUGAAGACUCUGCAUGACUAGCUG